rnacentral:lncRNA from 1 species
AGGAGAGUGACAUUCCAAUUUUCUCCCAAUUCUAUUGGAAGGUCAAUCUUAAAUGCUGUAUAGGAGGAUCUCAUUGAGAAGAUAUCAUUUGAGCAAAGAUGUAAAGCAAGGGAGGGAAUGAGUCAGUGGCUACAUAGCGAGAGUGUCCUAGGCAGAGGAAACAGCUUCUACAAAAGCCCUGAAGCAAGAGAAUGUUUGAAGUGUUCAAGAAUAAACAGGAGAUGCAGAAUGAAUGGAAUUGAGAGUGAGUGAGGCAGUCGGAUACAAGAGAGACUAAUAUGGGGCAGCACUGAAGACUGCUGACAGCAGCCACAUGAGUGAGCUCAGAGUGGACACAACAGCCCCUUCAGAGGCUGCAGGGAUGGCAGACAGCCUGACUGCAAUGUCGUGAAAGAUGCUGAGGCAGAACCAUGCAGCAAAGUCAUUCCCAGAUUCCUGACUCUCAGAAAAUCCCAGGCUUCCUGAUAUCAACAUCAUCCAAGGUGACUUUCUGGAAUAAAAGAGGAAUGUGAGAACAUCUGGUAGGGGAUGGCUCAAUAAAGAAAAAGUACAGGGAAUACCCAGCAGCCAAUCUGAAACUGCCAUUCAUAAAGAACUCAUCACAUAGGGAAAGGGCAUAUGGAGUUAUUAAGAAAAAGAACAGAAAGAGUGGGGAAGCUGCAAAAAUGAGU